rnacentral:rRNA from 1 species
CCAAUAGCGUAUAUUAAAGUUGUUGCAGUUAAAAAGCUCGUAGUUGAAUUUCGGGGUUCUACCGUUGGUCAGGCAAUAGUCUGUACUGGCGUGUGGAAUUUCUACCUUCUGGGGAACCAUCAUGUUAUUAAUUUAGCGUGGUGGGAAACCAGGACCUUUACCUUGAAAAAAUUAGAGUGUUCAAAGCAGGCUUACGUCUGAAUACAUUAGCAUGGAAUAAUAAAAUAGGACGGUGGUCCUGUUUUGUUGGUUUCUGAAUCACCGUAAUGAUUAAUAGGGAUAGUUGGGGGCAUUAGUAUUCAAUUGUCAGAGGUGAAAUUCUUGGAUUUAUUGAAGACUAACUUCUGCGAAAGCAUUUGCCAAGGAUGUUUUCAUUAAUCAAGAACGAAAGUUAGGGGAUCGAAGACGAUCAGAUACCGUCGUAGUCUUAACCAUAAACUAUGCCGACUAGGGAUCGGACGAUGUUAAUUUUUCUUGACUCGUUCGGCGCCUUACG